GAUGAACGCUAGCGGCAGGCUUAAUACAUGCAAGUUGAGGGGCAGCAUGAUAUACGUAAGUAUAUUGAUGGCGACCGGCGGACGGGUGAGUAAAAGGUAGGAGACCUACCUCAUACAGGGGGAUAGCAUAGAGAAAUCUGUGGUAAUACCCCAUGAGGUUAUAUGAAUAGAGGCAUAUAAUCAAAGUAUACGAGAGUAUGCGGUAUGAGAUGGGCCUACUGACCAUUAGCUAGUUGGUGAGGUAAGGGCUCACCAAGGCGAAGAUGGUUAGGGGUUUUGAGAGAGAGAUCCCCCACAUUGGAACUGAGAUACGGUCCAGACUCCUACGGGAGGCAGCAGUAGGGAAUAUUGGGCAAUGGGCGAAAGCCUGACCCAGCCAUGCCGCGUGAAGGAAGACGGCCUUAUGGGUUGUAAACUUCUUUACAUACGAAUAGAGGUUAGUACGAGUUACUAAUAGGAAGGUAGUAUAGCAAAAAGCACCGGCUAACUCCGUGCC
rnacentral:rRNA from 1 species